UCUUUUCUUCUGAGAAGGUCUUUCAUUUAUAUAGGCAAAACUAACCAGUAUACAAGGAAACUUAAACUAUACAUGCUAAUUACAUAGAGUGAUUUUAGGGAGCUAUAUCUGGUAACUUACAUAUGGUAAGUUAAAUCUCUUCUCCUAUUUAUAGCCUAGAUUAAUGAGUCAAUUACAGAAUUUAUGCCCCUGAUAUGUUGCUUUCUAUUGAUGAGUCAAUCACAGAAUUUAAUGAGUCAAUUACAAAAUUUAUGUCACUGAUAUGUUGCUUUCUAUUGAUGAGUCAAUCACAGAAUUUAUGCCCUG
rnacentral:lncRNA from 1 species